AGAGUUUGAUCCUGGCUCAGGAUGAACGCUUGCGGCGUGGAUAAGGCAUGCAAGUCAAACGGUUCCGCUUUUAGCGGAACAGUGGCGAACGAGCUAGUAACACCUUGGUUACCUACUCUGUACACGGGUAUAACUUUGAGAAAUUAAAGCUAAUCCCCGAUAGUCCCCGAGCUUUGCGAGGGGUAAAGAUUUUUUCGGCACAGAAAGGGCCUAGGCCCGAUCAGCUAGAAGGUAGGGUAACGGCCUACCUUGGCUUCGACCGGUAGGGGAGGUGAGAGCCUGACCCCCAGCGAGGGCACUGAGACACGGGCCCUACUCCUACGGGAGGCAGCAGUCGAGAAUAUUCCACAAUGGGCGAAAGCCUGAUGGAGCGACGCCGCGUGCAGGAAGAAUGCCUACGGGUUGUAAACUGCUUUUAAUCGGGAUGAAGUUCCGCCUUUGGCGGGAUUGACAGUACCGAUGGAAUAAGGGGUGGCUAACUUCGUGCCAGCAGCAGCGGUAAUACGAAGACCCCGAGUGUUAUCCGGAUUUAUUGGGCGUAAAGCGUACGUAGGGGGUUUGGUGCGUCUGUUGUUAAAUCUCACUGCCUAACGGUGGGGCUGCAGCAGAUACGGCCGAACUUGAGGAUGCGAGAGGUCUGUGGAACGCACGGUGUAGGGGUGAUAUCCGUUGAUAUCGUGCGGAACACCAAAGGCGAAGGCAGCAGACUGGCGUAUUCCUGACCCUGAGGUACGAAAGCGUGGGGCGCGAACGGGAUUAGAUACCCCGGUAGUCCACGCUGUAAACUAUGCUGGCUAGCUGUUUCGAGUAUCGACCCUCGGAGUGGCGCAGCUAACGCAUUAAGCCAGCCGCCUGGGAAGUACGGUCGCAAGGCUGAAACUCAAAGGAAUAGACGGGGACUCGCACAAGCGGUGGAGCAUGAGGUUUAAUUCGAUACUAAGCGAGGAACCUUACCAGGACUUGACAUUCUAUUGACGAUUUCGAGAAAUCGAUUUUUUUCUGAGUUUUCUUAGAACAAUAGAACAGGUGCUGCAUGGUUGUCGUCAGCUCGUGUCUUGAGAUGUUCCAUUAAGUUGGGAAACGAGCGCAACCCUCACUGUCUGUUACAAGUGUCAGAUGGGACUGCCCCGAUUCACGGGGAGGAAGGAGAGGAUAACGCCAAAUCAGCAUGGCCCUUUGAUGUCCUGGGCAACACUCAUGCUACAAUGGUCGGUACAACGGGUUGCGAAGCCGUAAGGCGGAGCCAAUCUCUAAAAACCGAUCUCAGUUCGGAUUGAGGGCUGAAACCCGCCCUCAUGAAGUUGGAAUCGCUAGUAAUCGCGGAUCAGAAUGCCGCGGUGAAUACGUUCUCGAGUCUUGUACUCACCGCCCGUCACACCAAGGGAGCUGGGAAUACCUAAAGCUCGGACUUAAGUUGGAGUUAGGGUAAGCUCGGUGANCAUGGGUGAAGUCGUAA
rnacentral:rRNA from 1 species